rnacentral:tRNA from 1 species
GGGCCCGUAGCGUAGAGGAAUGGGAGCGAGAAGGAAAGAAAAAAGAAAAAAGAAAAAAAGGUUAAUCUCCCGUCCACGUAUUCCGGAUAACGCGUCGGCCUUCGGAGCCGGAGAUCCAGGGUUCGAAUCCCUGCGGGCCCA